rnacentral:sRNA from 1 species
AGCAGUCAAUGCUGAGGAAGCGUCUAUCUCAUUCUGUAACCUUGAUUGUUGAUCAUCCUGUAGCUUUGGCGAGGCAAGCUUUAUUAUUGUCGAAGUCAAACAUCCGAGUAAUCUUGUUGACCAACACGGGUGUUCUGUGAUUGGCCGUCCUAACUAACUAACUAGUUAGUUAGUUACCUGCCAGCAUUGGGCAGGAUUACAGACAUAAAUUACCCAAAGGCGCACACAACCUUUUUCCGUGGCGACGCCCAUGCAGCUGAGAAGCUGAGAGGAAAGUUAUUAUAUAGUUAAUCUCUCGCACCUCACUUUUCGUUUGACUUGACUUCCUGAUUACGUAUCCGGGUUCAACCUUAAAACCAACUAUAACCUUGGAACGAUUGCUUAACCAGCCCGAGAUAUACAAACCCAUGAAAGUACCAACAGGAAUUUUAUUGAUAUUAUUACGUGGAACAUCAGCUUCGUAUUCACGCCUUGCAAUUUAUGAAUCGUGUGCUAGACAGAAACAUUGCAGCACUGAGGGGGUAGAGAGGGAUCUAAUCUCUUAGUCAAACGCCGGAAGUUUAGAUAUCAUUUUCGGUUGAUUUGCAUUUUUGUACUUCCAUUCAACCUCCUAUUCUCUCCCCCCGCUUCCAACAUCCCAAUAGGAAAAUGUAGAAACCAUAAAAGCUUCCGGAUAAGGUGAAAGCUCAUGU